rnacentral:rRNA from 1 species
GCAGUCGCCGCGGUAAUACAGAGGGUGCGAGCGUUAAUCGGAUUUACUGGGCGUAAAGCGUGCGUAGGCGGCUUCUUAAGUCGGAUGUGAAAUCCCUGAGCUUAAAUUAGGAAUUGCAUUCGAUACUGGGAAGCUAGAGUAUGGGAGAGGAUGGUAGAAUUCCAGGUGUAGCGGUGAAAUGCGUAGAGAUCUGGAGGAAUACCGAUGGCGAAGGCAGCCAUCUGGCCUAAUACUGACGCUGAGGUACGAAAGCAUGGGGAGCAAACAGGAUUAGAGACCCGCGUAGUCCCUGUCUCUUAUAC